GGGCCUGGGCUGAGUUGUGGGGGAGGAGGUGGCAGUUUAGGGCCUCAGGGGACAUAUGGGGGCGGUGGCAGAGUCAGGCGAUACUGGCGGGCUGGGGGUGGGAGUGUGCCUGCUGGAGGCAGGUUAGAGGGGAGACUAGACCUUAGGGAAGUCUUGCAGGGCAGAGCUGCCUCGAAAGGGCCCGCAGGAACCCGGGGAGAGGAGCACACUCCAGGCCUGGGUGUCGCUGCUGCCCGCUGGAGAAGGGGAACUUGACCCCUGGGAGGGGGCCGAUUCCGCGUAGGCUGGGCGGCCCCCUGUGCCCUGCUUUGUCUGACGGAGGGAGGCAGAGACUGGAGGAGGCUGAGGGUCUCGCCACCCUUGCUGGAGGCGAUAUCUGGCCGUCGAUGCCCUGAACAUGAGCAAGAAGGCAGGCCGUGGGGUGCGGGGUCGCAGUUAGGCUGGGAAGGCAGCACUUGAACUUGUCAAUACCAGCCGCCCCCUUUUUUUCCAGACAAAGGGGUGUGAGCCCGCCUGGGGAUGAGGCCUGGUGUGGUGGCAACUGACCUUAGCUUCGCGGGCUGACAGCUCUGGCCCAGGGCGGUAUGUAAUUCUGGCUCGACCUGGGACAGGGUCCAGCCAGGCCCAACCUGGCGGAGGCCAGGUCUGGGUGCGAGGGGGGUCUAGGGACUGCGUGAGGAGGUGAGGUGCCAUGCUGAGCGGUGGCGCCUCGUGUGUGUCUUGACAGGCAGGGGCUGGAAGUGGACAAAAUUGACCCACGCUUUAUUUUCCAGGUGGCAGUGCUCCCUUUUGGACUUUUCCUGUAGGUUCCGUGCUAACCUCUUCUGUGAGCUCACUCUGCCCCUCCUCCUCCUCCUCCUCCCUUUAACUCCCUCGAGGUUCCCCAUUGGCUUAAGCGUUGCUUCUGGUAAUCUGGUAAGCCCGGGAAGUUGCUCCAGUCCCUGUUGGAGUCGCUACUGCUGGUAAUCCUGAAGGAGGAGAGGCCUCCCCUGUUGAGACUCUGGGUGGGUGGGUGGCUUGCAGGUGGAGGGGGUGGGGCGUGGAUGUGCACCCCCCGGGUGGGCCCGCGGCCAUGGUACCAGCUGAAAGCUACGCAAAUGCCCUCAUAGAUGGUGGUUUGUUGCUGUAGUGUUCAUCAUGGCGAGCUGAUGGCACCAGGAGGAUGGAGCCUCUGGCCAGUGUGAGUCCUAGCAGUGCAGGAGGGGAGACCCUGGAGGAGAGAGCCCGCUAAAUUGAUGUCUGCAGAUUGAAUUUCCAGAGGCUUAGGAGGAGGAAGUUCUCCAAUGUCCCGUGUCCAGGCCUUUGGCUCAGGAAGCCCUGUAUUCAGGAGGCCACCCUUUAAGGGUGUCAAUGAGCUUGUGAGAGGGUGAUGGUUCCAAGUCCCAAGCAGAUGCAUCCGGGGUCGUCAGCAGAUGUGUUGAGUGUUUGAUCCGGAGCACCAACCUCUGGGCACGUUGAAUGCCAGCAGGCACCUCUCCUGUUCGGGGGUGGAGGUUUUCCGAUGGCUGCGUCUUCUAAUGCCUCCUGUCAUGCUAGUUCUGUGCUACGAACCUUGCUUCCAGAAGACUCUUAAGAUGUAGAACAUUUUAACGCUGAUGCCUCAACGCAGAGUGAUGCCUGGUAGAUGGAGCUUGCAGAUGGAGCCCAGGGACCCUGUCAUCUACUCACCUGCCUGCCCCAGCCUCGGUCGGAGGAAUUCUUAGUGUGAUGAUGUAACCUGUGUGUCCAGAAAGUGUUCACUGUUGAAACGCCUUAGGCCAAUACUCACAGGAAGCCACCUGGCAAACUGAGGGGGUCAUUGUGUUGUGCUGUGGUCUGGGAGGGUACAAGGUGGUGCUGCGCAAGUGGGGAUAGAAAUGCAGGUCUGGUUUGGGCAUUCCUACUACAAGAAGGGUGUGGUCAGGGUACUGAUAGUGGUCUCUGCUCCAUCUUGCCCUAUAUACUUUUUAACUUGAAUUUUAUUUGAUUAGAUUUCAAAGUAAUUUUAGUCUUCAAAUGAGGGGACCCCGAGGUGAGGGAUUGGGAGGGAGGGGAUGAUUUGGCCCUGGCGCUGGGGAGGGGGAGGGGGGGGAAGAAAGGGAGAGGGUUGUGAUUAGGUGUGGGUUCUGUAGGGUGGGAGUGGUUGGGAGUGUGGGUCGGAGGGAAUUUUCUGGAGAAAAUAUCAAUAGGCAGGGCUCUGGGGAGUUACGUAGAGCUCGUGGGAGAAGAAAAUGUUAGUUAAUAGUAAAUUGUUAACGCUAGUUGUUGCUUGGAAGCGCAAAAGUUGCAAGUUUUCUAAAAUGCUUAGAACUCUUAAUUGCAGGAAGGAAAGCAAAAUUGUUUUGCUUUGCAAGAUGGGGAGGACUGGAAAAGGUAACAGCCUGGUUAUCAGUCACUUGAAAGACUGGUGUCAGGAACUUGCAUCAGCAGAUUAACAUCUUUCAAUGCUUUGCAAGCUUCAAAGUGGUUUAUCUGAAUGUGUGCAGAAUCCCGAGCAGUCUUAAGACUCUAAAUACCCAAAUUGAGGGCUUUUGAAGUAUUAUGUUUCAGAUUUUGGUGUGCACUUAAGAUGGUCAGAUGUACUUUUCUGGGUUUGUAACAUCUUAGCUGAGGUUUUGCAAUUGAAAACUUGAGCAGAGUGAAAAUGGUUUCUAGAGGAAUUCCGUAUGUCAUCUCCUGCCUUAUUAAACACAUCUCUUGUCUUUGUGAUUGGUACUACUACCAGCAGAAGUUUUUCCCAUUAACCUUUUUGUCCUUGUUGUGACAAGAAGAACGUAAUAACCUUGUGACCGCUGUCGUCACUGUAUGUUUGGUAGCAAAUAGUCCAUGUAUCCUUGAUAAGGUUUCAGUUCAUAAUCCGCUGUAUCUUUAGUUUGAAUGUUUGUGCUUUUUAAGUGACCCAGUACUUCAUGUGGGAAACUAUUAAACCAAAAUCAGUUUUGGAAAUGAGAACAAAACUAGGGCUGGGCAAGUGCUUUAGAUACGGUCUGUAAAAAUCCAGGGGAAGAUCUGAACUCUUAUGAUACUUGUUUCUGAGAUGCACCUAUUUAAUUGGUAAAGUAACAGCUGUGGCUUUUUAUCAUCUCCCUUUUCCCCUUAAAUUUACUUUGAAAAUUUUAAAUCCCCACUACUUAUUACCCUUGGGAGUUACGUCUUCUGGGUUCUUUGGUGAUGUUUAAAAAUAUGUUGACAUGUAGUUCAAUUCUUAACCUGUGACUUGGGCAUGAUGCGGUGACUCAUUGGAAUUUGAAGAGCACCAGUCACGCGUGUCGGGAAAUAUGUUGCGUUAUGCUGUUGUGAAAUCGAAACUGUAAAAGUAGGUGGUGAAAAUCACGUCUCUGUUGCUCUGUGUGGUGAGAACCAGUCCUGUUGCAUCAUGUAUGAUGACUAAUCAUUUUUCUUCCCCUUCACAGCACAAAUAAAGGUUUGAGUUCUAAACUCAAAAAAAAAAAAAAAAAAAAAAAAAAAAAA
rnacentral:lncRNA from 1 species